rnacentral:rRNA from 1 species
UUGAUCCUGGCUCAGAAUCAACGCUGGCGGCGUGCCUAACACAUGCAAGUCGAACGCGAAGACCCCGCAAGGGGUUUGUAGAGUGGCGAACGGGUGAGUUACACGUGGGUGACCUACCUUCGAGUGGGGGAUAACGUCCCGAAAGGGACUCUAAUACCGCAUAACAUCCUGCCUUUGAACAGGUGGAGAUCAAAGCCGGUGAUCGCAAGACCUGGCGUUUGAAGAGGGGCCCGCGUCUGAUUAGCUAGUUGGUGAGGUAACGGCCCACCAAGGCGACGAUCAGUAUCCGGCCUGAGAGGUCGGACGGACACACUGGGACUGAGACACGGCCCAGACUCCUACGGGAGGCUGCAGUGGGGAAUUGUUCGCAAUGGGCGCAAGCCUGACGACGCAACGCCGUGUGGAGGAUGAAGGUCUUCGGAUUGUAAACUCCUGUUGCCCGGGACGAAUUGCUCCGACCUAACACGUCGGAGUUUGACGGUACCGGGUGAGGAAGCCCUGGCUAACUCUGUGCCAGCAGCCGCGGUAAUAAGGU